ACGGGAGGCAGCAGUGAGGAAUAUUGGUCAAUGGGCGGAAGCCUGAACCAGCCAUGUCGCGUGCAGGACUACGGCCCUACGGGUCUUAAACUUCUUUUUGCAGGGGGGUAAAGUGGGCCACGCGUGGUCUAUUGCAAGUACCCUGCGAAUAAGCAUCGGCUAACUCCGUGCCAGCAGCCGCGGUAAUACGGAGGAUGCGAGCGUUAUCCGGAUUUAUUGGGUUUAAAGGGUGCGUAGGCGGGCGAUUAAGUCAGCGGUGAAAGUUUGCGGCUCAACCGUAAAAUUGCCGUUGAAACUGGUUGCCUUGAGUGCGGCAGAGGCAGGCGGAAUGUGUGGUGUAGCGGUGAAAUGCAUAGAUAUCACACAGAACACCGAUUGCGAAGGCAGCUUGCUGGAGCGCAACUGACGCUGAGGCACGAAAGCGCGGGUAUCGAACAGGAUUAGAUACCCUGGUA
rnacentral:rRNA from 1 species